AGUGAACGCUGGCGGUAGGCCUAACACAUGCAAGUCGAACGGCAGCACAGUAAGAGCUUGCUCUUACGGGUGGCGAGUGGCGGACGGGUGAGGAAUACAUCGGAAUCUACUUUUUCGUGGGGGAUAACGUAGGGAAACUUACGCUAAUACCGCAUACGACCUACGGGUGAAAGAAGGGGAUCUUCGGACCUUGCGCGAUUGAAUGAGCCGAUGUCGGAUUAGCUAGUUGGCGGGGUAAAGGCCCACCAAGGCGACGAUACGUAGCUGGUCUGAGAGGAUGGUCGGCCACACUGGAACUGAGACACGGUCCAGACUCCUACGAGAGGCAGCAGUGGGGAAUAUUGGACAAUGGGCGCAAGCCUGAUCCAGCCAUACCGCGUGUGUGAAGAAGGCCUUCGGGUUGUAAAGCCCUUUUGUUGGUAAAGAAAAGCAGCAGGUUAAUACCCCGCUGUUCUGACGGUACCCAAAGAAUAAGCACCGGCUAACUUCGUG
rnacentral:rRNA from 1 species